UACGUAGGGCGCAAGCGUUGUCCGAAAUUAUUGGGCGUAAAGAGCUCGUAGGCGGCCUGUUGCGUCCGCUGUGAAAUCCCGGGGCUUAACCCCGGGUCUGCAUUCGAUACGGGCUGGCUAGAGUGUGGUAGGGGAGAUCGGAAUUCCUGGUGUAGCGGUAAAAUGCGCAGAUAUCAGGAGGAACACCGGUGGCGAAGGCGGAUCUCUGGGCCAUUACUGACGCUGAGGAGCGAAAGCGUGGGGAGCGAACAGG
rnacentral:rRNA from 1 species